GACGAACGCUGGCGGCGUGCCUAAUACAUGCAAGUUGAGCGCUGAAGGUUGGUACUUGUACCAACUGGAUGAGCAGCGAACGGGUGAGUAACGCGUGGGGAAUCUGCCUUUGAGCGGGGGACAACAUUUGGAAACGAAUGCUAAUACCGCAUAAAAACUUUAAACACAAGUUUUAAGUUUGAAAGAUGCAAUUGCAUCACUCAAAGAUGAUCCCGCGUUGUAUUAGCUAGUUGGUGAGGUAAAGGCUCACCAAGGCGAUGAUACAUAGCCGACCUGAGAGGGUGAUCGGCCACAUUGGGACUGAGACACGGCCCAAACUCCUACGGGAGGCAGCAGUAGGGAAUCUUCGGCAAUGGACGAAAGUCUGACCGAGCAACGCCGCGUGAGUGCAGAAGGUUUUCGGAUCGUAAAACUCUGUUGGUAGAGAAGAACGUUGGUGAGAGUGGAAAGCCCAUCAAGUGACGGUAACUACCCAGAAAGGGACGGCUAACUACGUG
rnacentral:rRNA from 1 species